UAAAAUGUGCAUGAAAGUAUACUGUAGUCUUAAAUAUUAAGAUAUACAGGAAUGUACAAGAGGCGAAUGUGCAUAUGUGCAUUAAACUGUACAGUUUUAAGUACAAUUAAAAAAAAAAAUUCUCCACUGAAUCUCAUUGCUGUCUUAUAGAAACAGUUGAGAUCUCAUUUCUUGUGUUUCUUCCAGACUGCAACACAAUUGCCUCCGCAUACAAAUCAUCAAACCACACGAGCUCUGACUGGAGUGCCAACAGCUGUAAAUAUGCUGAAUGUUUCAGGCACAUAGCACGUUGUGAAACCACAAAAAAGGCUCUUUUUUAACCAGUGAGUGCUGUAUUUGGUUGCCAUGGAAACUUGUGAGAGAUAUUUUGAAGAAUGUGCAUGCUGGUGUUCUCCAUACAAUGAAGGUAAAUGGAGAUUGACACAGUUAAGAGCAGCAUUAACCUUCUACUGAAGAUUUUGUUCGUGUUCUACUGAAGAAAGAAAGUUUUGCAGGCUUGGAAUGACAUGAGGGUGGGUGAGGGGAGAUUUGGAAAACAGGUGCUCAAAAACACAUCUGAAUGGGAACGUCCACUCAGCUUGUGUGCUUGAGUGCUAGAUCACAUUGCAGUCAUGUGGGAGAGUCAUGUAUAUGUCCAUACAGUAAUUUAACAGGUGCUAUUUGUUUUAAAACUGUGUGAAUGGAUUAUCAUCCCUGAAGAACUUUAUAGGAUUGAACUAAUAUGACAGUUUAAUUAUCACUAUGCACCAGCCGCCGUAUGUGAAUUCAAGACACAUGGAAUGACCCCUUCACCUCUUCUUUACGAGAACAUAUAUAUCCAGACAACAUUCAUUUUCACUUAAACACACUCAUCUGAUUUAGAUCUGACACUGUACAGAAUCCUAGUGAAAACAGAUCACAGCAAUAAGACUCAAAUCUAAAGGACACAUUUUUUUGUGGUUGCUAAGUGACACCAAAAUUGGCUCCUAGCCUUCAGGUGAAUGGCGACAGAAAUUUAUUUUUGUUUUUAUUUCACUUGUUGUGUUGGGGAACACACUGUGGACAGAGACAUGUUUUUAUUGGAGGAUAUUUUAUCUAUUUAUUUAUUUAUGUAUUUAUUUUUCAGUGUGUCUCUUAUUCUCACCAAACUAGCAUGUAUUUGGUCAAAAAUACAUUAAAAACAGGAAUAUUGUGAAAUAUUAUUACAAUGUAAAAUAAUUAUUUGAAUGUUUUAUAUAUAAUUUAAAAUAUUGCUUAUUCCUGAAUUUUAAGAAGCCAUUACUCCCACUUUGAAGUGUUCUCCUGUCUCCCAUGAACAGAAAGUUCAAAAGAAUAGCAUUUAUUUGAAAUUUAUUUAUUUUUGUCACAAUAUAAAUGUUCUUACUGUCACAUUUGUUCAGUUUAAUGCAUGCUGGUUAAGUAGAAGUAAAAGUAUUCAAUUCU